GACGAACGCUGGCGGCGUGCUUAACACAUGCAAGUCGAACGAUGAAGAAGAGCUUGCUCUUCGGAUUAGUGGCGAACGGGUGAGUAACACGUGACUAACCUGCCCCUUUCUCUGGGAUAACGCUCCGAAAGGAGUGCUAAUACCGGAUACUCACAUCGAGGCACAUGCCUUGAUGUGGAAAGUUUUUCGGAAAGGGAUGGAGUCGCGGCCUAUCAGCUUGUUGGUGAGGUAACGGCUCACCAAGGCGACGACGGGUAGCCGGCCUGAGAGGGCGACCGGCCACACUGGGACUGAGACACGGUGCAGACUCCUACGGGAGGCAGCAGUGGGGAAUAUUGCACAAUGGGCGAAAGCCUGAUGCAGCGACGCCGCGUGAGGGAUGAAGGUCUUCGGAUUGUAAACCUCUUUCAGUAGGGACGAAGCGAAAGUGACGGUACCUAAAGAAGAAGCACCGGCUAACUACGUGCCAGCCGCCGCGGUAA
rnacentral:rRNA from 1 species